GUCUCUCCUCUUCCUCACCUCUGCAGGUCUAGGAUCUGUCUCUCCUCUUCCUCACCUCUGCAGGUCUAGGAUCUGUCUCUCCUCUUCCUCACCUCUGCAGGUCUAGGAUCUGUCUCUCCUCUUCCUCACCUCUACAGGUCUAGGAUCUGUCUCUCCUCUUCCUCACCUCUGCAGGUCUAGGAUCUGUCUCCUCUUCCUCACCUCUGCAGGUCUAGGAUCUGUCUCCCCUCUUCCUCACCUCUACAGGUCUAGGAUCUGUCUCUCCUCUUCCUCACCUCUGCAGGUCUAGGAUCUGUCUCCCCUCUUCCUCACCUCUGCAGGUCUAGGAUCUGUCUCUCCUCUUCCUCACCUCUGCAGGUCUAGGAUCUGUCUCCCCUCUUCCUCACCUCUGCAGGUCUAGGAUCUGUCUCUCCUCUUCCUCACCUCUGCAGGUCUAGGAUCUGUCUCUCCUCUUCCUCACCUCUGCAGGUCUAGGAUCUGUCUCUCCUCUUCCUCACCUCUGCAGGUCUAGGGAUCUGUCUCUCCUCUUCCUCACCUCUGCAGGUCUAGGAUCUGUCUCUCCUCUUCCUCACCUCUGCAGGUCUAGGAUCUGUCUCUCCUCUUCAGCUUUAGGGAUCUUGAUGGAGUUUACCUCCCCCGAGGGGGCGGAGUCCUGGGCUGGUGCCGCCCUCUUCCUGCCUUUGG
rnacentral:lncRNA from 1 species